rnacentral:rRNA from 1 species
GCAUAUCAAUAAGCGGAGGAAAAGAAACCAACAGGGAUUGCCCCAGUAACGGCGAAGUGAAGCGGCAACAGCUCAAAUUUGAAAUCUGGCGCAAGCCCGAAUUGUAAUUUGUAGAGGAUGCUUCUGGGUAGCGGCCGGUCUAAGUUCCUUGGAACAGGACGUCACAGAGGGUGAGAAUCCCGUAUGUGAUCGGCCCGCGCCCUCUACGUAGCUCCUUCGACGAGUCGAGUUGUUUGGGAAUGCAGCUCUAAAUGGGAGGUAAAUUUCUUCUAAAGCUAAAUACCGGCCAGAGACCGAUAGCGCACAAGUAGAGUGAUCGAAAGAUGAAAAGCACUUUGGAAAGAGAGUUAAACAGCACGUGAAAUUGUUGAAAGGGAAGCGCUUGCAACCAGACUUGUCCGCGGUGUUCCGCCGGUCUUCUGACCGGUCUACUCGCCGCGGGCAGGCCAUCAUCGUCUGGGGCCGCCGGAGAAACCGUCAGGAAUGUAGCUCCCUCGGGAGUGUUAUAGCCUGGCGACAUGCGGCGCGCCCCGGGCGAGGUCCGCGCACUGCAAGGAUGAUGGCGUAAUGGUUGUCAGCGGCCCGUCUUGAAACACGGACCAAGGAGUCUAACAUCUAUGCGAGUGUUCGGGUGUCAAACCCCUACGCGUAAUGAAAGUGAACGGAGGUGGGAGCUUCGGCGCACCAUCGACCGAUCCUGAUGUCCUCGGAUGGAUUUGAGUAAGAGCAUAGCUGUUGGGACCCGAAAGAUGGUGAACUAUGCCUGAAUAGGGUGAAGCCAGAGGAAACUCUGGUGGAGGCUCGCAGCGGUUCUGACGUGCAAAUCGAUCGUCAAAUUUGGGUAUAGGGGGCGAAAGACUAAUCGAACCAUCUAGUAGCUGGUUCCUGCG